ACGCACGCUGGCGGCGUGCUUCACCCCUGCCAGUCGCACGCAAAGAGGGAAAGAGCUUGCUCUUUCCGGAAUUGAGUGGCAAACGGGUGAGUAACACGUAAACAACCUGCCUUCAGGAUGGGGACAACAGACGGAAACGACUGCUAAUACCGAAUAAGUUCCAAGAGCCGCAUGGCCCAUGGAAGAAAAGGUGGCCUCUACCUGUAAGCUAUCGCCUGAAGAGGGGUUUGCGUCUGAUUAGCUGGUUGGAGGGGUAACGGCCCACCAAGGCGACGAUCAGUAGCCGGUCUGAGAGGAUGAACGGCCACACUGGAACUGAGACACGGUCCAGACUCCUACGGGAGGCAGCAGUGGGGAAUCUUCCGCAAUGGGCGAAAGCCUGACGGAGCAACGCCGCGUGAGUGAUGACGGCCUUCGGGUUGUAAAACUCUGUGAUCCGGGACGAAAAGGCAGAGUGCGAAGAACAAACUGCAUUGACGGUACCGGAAAAGCAAGCCACGGCUAACUACGUG
rnacentral:rRNA from 1 species